rnacentral:rRNA from 1 species
UACAGAGGAGCCAAGCGUUGUCCGGAUUGACUGGGCGUAAAGCGCACGCAGGCGGCACCGCGCGUGGGGUGUGAAAUCUGGCCGCUUAACGGCCAGGCGCCAUCCCAUACGGCGCGGCUUGAGCCUUGCAGAGGGCGGUGGAAUUGCCGGUGUAGUGGUGAAAUGCGUAGAGAUCGGCAGAAACACCCAGGGGGAAACCAGCCGCCUGGGCAAGCGCUGACGCUGAGGUGCGAGAGCGUGGGGAGCGAACCGG